rnacentral:rRNA from 1 species
CCUACGGGAGGCAGCAGUGAGGAAUAUUGGUCAAUGGGCGAGAGCCUGAACCAGCCAAGUCGCGUGAGGGAGUACUGCCCUAUGGGUUGUAAACCUCUUUUGUCGGGGAGCAAAAGCCGGACGUGUCCGGCUGUGAGAGUACCCGAAGAAAAAGCAUCGGCUAACUCCGUGCCAGCAGCCGCGGUAAUACGUAGGGGGCAAGCGUUAUCCGGAUUUACUGGGUGUAAAGGGAGCGUAGACGGCAAGGCAAGUCUGGAGUGAAAGCCCGUGGCUCAACCACGGGACUGCUUUGGAAACUGUGUUGCUGGAGUGCAGGAGGGGUAAGCGGAAUUCCUAGUGUAGCGGUGAAAUGCGUAGAUAUUAGGAGGAACACCGGUGGCGAAGGCGGCUUACUGGACUGUAACUGACGUUGAGGCUCGAAGGCGUGGGGAGCAAACAGGAUUAGAUACCCCAGUAGUC